rnacentral:rRNA from 1 species
AUGGUGCUCCCAGAUCUGAAUAGCACUCCACCUGGAGGAGAGGAAGAUGUACAUAUGUCUGAAGAAGAGGAAGAUGUACAUAUGCCUGAAGGAGAGGAAGAUGUACGUAUACCACGGGCAAAACCAGAUCUACCAGACACUCACAAAUUUGCAGCAUAUAUUGCACUAAAAGCACUUAGCAGGGAUGGAGAAAUUGACAAGAGAGACAAAGAACGUGUAGCUGGUCUGCUGAACACAAGUGUCAGAACCGUUGAAAGAAUAUGGAAGGAGGCAAAUGCCCAGCUUGCAAGAGGAGAAGAGAUCAAUGUGUCUAAUAAAAGGAAGCGGAGAUGUGGUAGAAAGAGGGCAGACCUUGAUCUCUCGAGGAUACCUUCAAUUCCCCUCAACAAAAGGUCUACACUGAGGGCACUCGCUAGGUCUCUGGAUGUACCAUAUUCUACCUUGCGGAGAAGGUUCAAAUGGGGAAAGAUAAGGAAACACACAAACAGUCUGAAGCCCACUCUGAAACCAGAAAACAAGCUAUCAAGGCUCAAGUUUUGCAUUUCAAUGAUUGAUCAAACAACAAUAGCAGAUGCAAUGCCCUCUUUCAUUGAUAUGCAGAACAUAGUUCACAUCGACGAGAAAUGGUUUGAUAUGACGAAAAGGAACAGAACCUAUUACCUCCAUGAAGAAGAACCAGAUUCGGUGCGCACUGUUCAAAACAAGAAUAGUAUCGGCAAGGUCAUGUUCUUAACAGCAGUUGCGAGGCCACGAUUUGAUGAUCAAGGAAAUGUAACAUUUGAUGGCAAGAUAGGAGUAUGGGCCUUCAUCAAAGAAACUCCAGCAAAAAAGGAUUCCAAGAACAGACUCAAAGGGACUAAGGAACUAAAGUCGGUCACAGUUACUAGGAAUGUGAUGAGGGAAUACCUAUGUGAAAAGGUCAUUCCAGCCAUUGAAGCACAGUGGCCCGAAGACAAUCGAACCAUCUACAUCCAGCAAGAUAACGCAAGAACACAUGUUCCUCCAGAUGAUUCAGAUUUUCUAGCUGCCGUAGCAGAAUCAGAACUGGAUAUCAGGUUGAUGCAGCAGCCUGCAAAUUCACCUGAUAUGAAUGUCCUGGAUCUUUGCUUCUUCAGCUCAAUUCAGUCCUUGACGCUUGAAAGUGCACCAAACAACAUCAAGGAACUGAUAGAAUCAGUUGAAGAAGCAUAUGAUAGGUAUGAAGUGCACAAACUGGCGAGAGUGUUUAUAACCUUACAGUCAGUCCUGAUUGAGGUUAUGAGAGUUGAGGGAGGUACAGGAUACAAGAUCCCGCACAUGAACAAAGAUAGGAUGGAGAGGGAGGGGAUGCUACAUAUCAAUCUAAGAUUCGAUGCUGAGCUAUAUUGGAAAACUUUGGACAUUAUAGAGGGUCACUAA